GAUGAACGCUGACAGAAUGCCUAACACAUGCAAGUCAACUUGAACUUCGGUUUGGGUGGCGGACGGGUGAGUAACGCGUAAAGAACUUGCCUCACAGAUAGGGACAACAUUUGGAAACGAAUGCUAAUACCUGAUAUUAUGAUUUUAGGGCAUCCUAGGAUUAUGAAAGCUAUAUGCGCUGUGAGAGAGCUUUGCGUCCCAUUAGCUAGUUGGAGAGGUAACGGCUCACCAAGGCGAUGAUGGGUAGCCGGCCUGAGAGGGUGAUCGGCCACAAGGGGACUGGGACACGGCCCUUACUCCUACGGGAGGCAGCAGUGGGGAAUAUUGGACAAUGGACCAAGAGUCUGAUCCAGCAAUUCUGUGUGCACGAUGAAGUUUUUCGGAAUGUAAAGUGCUUUCAGUUGGGAAGAAAAAAAUGACGGUACCAACAGAAGAAGUGACGGCUAAAUACGUGCCAGCAGCCGCGGUAAUACGUAUGUCACAAGCGUUAUCCGGAUUUAUUGGGCGUAAAGCGCGUCUAGGUGGUUAUAUAAGUCUGAUGUGAAAAUGCAGGGCUCAACUCUGUAUUGCGUUGGAAACUGUGUAACUAGAGUACUGGAGAGGUAAGCGGAACUACAAGUGUAGAGGUGAAAUUCGUAGAUAUUUGUAGGAAUGCCGAUGGGGAAGCCAGCUUACUGGACAGAUACUGACGCUGAAGCGCGAAAGCGUGGGUAGCAAACAGG
rnacentral:rRNA from 1 species